UACGAAGGGGGCUAGCGUUGCUCGGAAUCACUGGGCGUAAAGCGCACGUAGGCGGAUAUUUAAGUCAGGGGUGAAAUCCCAGAGCUCAACUCUGGAACUGCCUUUGAUACUGGGUAUCUUGAGUAUGGAAGAGGUAAGUGGAAUUGCGAGUGUAGAGGUGAAAUUCGUAGAUAUUCGCAGGAACACCAGUGGCGAAGGCGGCUUACUGGUCCAUAACUGACGCUGAGGUGGCGAAAAGCGUGGGGAGCAAACAGGG
rnacentral:rRNA from 1 species